GUGCAGCAGGCGCGAAUCCUUCGCAAUGCGGGAAACCGCGACGAGGGGACUCCCAGUGCCUACGCUCAGCGUAGGCUGUUCCCGAGCCUAGAAAGCUCGGGGAGUAAGGGCUGGGUAAGACGGGUGCCAGCCGCCGCGGUAAUACCCGCAGCCCGAGUGGUGGCCACUAUUAUUGGGCCUAAAGCGUCCGUAGCCGGCCCGGUAAAUGUCUGGGUAAAUCGUGAGGCCUAACCUCACGAAUUCCGGGUAGACUGCCGGGGCUAGGGGACCGGAGGAGGGAGAGGGGUACUCCAGGGGUAGGGGUGAAAUCCUGUAAUCCCUGGAGGACCACCGGUGGCGAAGGCGCUCUCCUAGGACGGGUCCGACGGUGAGGGACGAAAGCCAGGGGAGCGAACCGGAUUAGAUACCCCUGUAGU
rnacentral:rRNA from 1 species